GUUUUAGUAAUUUAAAAUAAAAUAACGGUCUUGUAAACCGUAAAUAAGAUUAACUCUUUUAAAACU
rnacentral:tRNA from 1 species